rnacentral:rRNA from 1 species
AUUGAACGCUGGCGGCAUGCCUUACACAUGCAAGUCGAACGGUAGCGGGCCUUCGGGUGCCGACGAGUGGCGAACGGGUGAGUAAUGUAUCGGAACGUACCAUUGAGUGGGGGAUAACGUAGCGAAAGUUACGCUAAUACCGCAUAUUCUCUCCGGAGGAAAGCAGGGGACCGCAAGGCCUUGCGCUCUUUGAGCGGCCGAUAUCAGAUUAGCUAGUUGGUGAGGUAAAGGCUCACCAAGGCGACGAUCUGUAGCGGGUCUGAGAGGAUGAUCCGCCACACUGGAACUGAGACACGGUCCAGACUCCUACGGGAGGCAGCAGUGGGGAAUUUUGGACAAUGGGGGGCAACCCUGAUCCAUCCAUGCCGCGUGAGUGAAGAAGGCCUUCGGGUUGUAAAGCUCUUUCGGCCGGGAAGAAAUCGCAUGGGCUAAUACCCUGUGCGGAUGACGGUACCGGCAUAAGAAGCACCGGCUAACUACGUGCCAGCAGCCGCGGUAAUACGUAGGGUGCGAGCGUUAAUCGGAAUUACUGGGCGUAAAGCGUGCGCAGGCGGUUUUGUAAGACAGGCGUGAAAUCCCCGGGCUCAACCUGGGAACUGCGUUUGUGACUGCAAGGCUAGAGUACGGCAGAGGGGGGUGGAAUUCCACGUGUAGCAGUGAAAUGCGUAGAGAUGUGGAGGAACACCAAUGGCGAAGGCAGCCCCCUGGGUCGAUACUGACGCUCAUGCACGAAAGCGUGGGUAGCAAACAGGAUUAGAUACCCUGGUAGUCCACGCCCUAAACGAUGUCAACUAGGUGUUGGGUGGGUGAAACCAUUUAGUACCGGA